rnacentral:rRNA from 1 species
UACGUAGGGGGCAAGCGUUAUCCGGAUUUACUGGGUGUAAAGGGAGCGUAGACGGCAAGGCAAGUCUGAUGUGAAAACCCAGGGCUUAACCCUGGAACUGCAUUGGAAACUGUCUGGCUCGAGUGCCGGAGAGGUAAGCGGAAUUCCUAGUGUAGCGGUGAAAUGCGUAGAUAUUAGGAAGAACACCAGUGGCGAAGGCGGCUUACUGGACGGUAACUGACGUUGAGGCUCGAAAGCGUGGGGAGCAAACAGG